rnacentral:rRNA from 1 species
AGCGAACGCUGGCGGCAGGCCUAACACAUGCAAGUCGAACGAACUCUUCGUAGGUAGUUGCUCACGGGUGUGUAGCACGUCGGAACGUUCCGGUUUGUUCGGGAUAACUCUUUUAAACUUGUGCUAAUACCGGAUGUGCCCUGCUGGUGAAAGAUUUGUCGCCAGUAUAGCGGCCCGCGUCGUAUUAGCUAGUUGGGGAGGUAAGGGCUCACCAAGGCGACGAUCAGUAGCUGGUCUGAGAGGAUGACCAGCCACACUGGGACUGAGACACGGCCCAGAAUCAUACGGGAGGCAGCAGUGGGGAAUCUUGCGCAAUGGGCGAAAGUCUGAAGCAGCCAUGCGGUGUGAAUGAUGAAGGUUUUAGGAGUGUAACAUUAUUUCAACGGGGACGAUAAUGACGGUACCCGGAGAAGAAGCCCCGGCUAACUUCGUG